AACGAACGCUGGCGGCAGGCCUAACACAUGCAAGUCGAGCGAGAUCUUCGGGUCUAGCGGCGGACGGGUGAGUAACGCGUGGGAAUAUGCCUCUUGGUACGGAAUAGCCUCGGGAAACUGGGAGUAAUACCGUAUGUGCCCUUUGGGGGAAAGAUUUAUCGCCAAGAGAUUAGCCCGCGUUGGAUUAGGUAGUUGGUGGGGUAAUGGCCUACCAAGCCGACGAUCCAUAGCUGGUUUGAGAGGAUGAUCAGCCACACUGGGACUGAGACACGGCCCAGACUCCUACGGGAGGCAGCAGUGGGGAAUCUUAGACAAUGGGGGCAACCCUGAUCUAGCCAUGCCGCGUGAGUGAUGAAGGCCUUAGGGUUGUAAAGCUCUUUCAGCUGGGAAGAUAAUGACGGUACCAGCAGAAGAAGCCCCGGCUAACUCCGCG
rnacentral:rRNA from 1 species